AAAAAAAAAAAAAAAAAAAUUGGCAGACCCAAUAUACUUUGCAGAAUUAACCUUUAAACCAAUAAUCAGACAAGACAAAACACGGAGUGGACUACAAGAAUAGCUUUUAUUAGAAAAAUGGAUCAACAAAGAUACAAUUUGUCUUUCCCCUCUCAAUUUACGUCACCCAAACCUAGAGGCCCCCAUUUUAAACAAAAUCAAAUCCAAUCCUUUACAAAUCAAACAGAAGCCCAUGAAAUCCCACAUCGACCAGAUUCCCCCUAGGUCAAUUCACAUAGGUAUAUAAACAUACUUGAAAACAAAGAACGAUUACAGGGAUUGAUAGCUAAAGACUUACUGAAGAGUGGGAACAAUGCCAGA
rnacentral:misc_RNA from 1 species